CAUCUAUGUGUACAUCCCUGGAAAGUAUACUGCCAAAUUUCCUCCCAUCAUCUUCAAACUCACUAAGAAGCAGUUUGUUCAGUCUCUCAUGAAUUUCCCCCAGGAAUAUGCCAACCCAUCUACCACUUGAAGAUUUGAAGCAACUUUGCACAGAGGCGUCAAACUCACCACCCCCAGGCCGCAGGCCAUUGCAAAACUUCUGAGUGCUGCCAGAACCAGAAUGUAAU